rnacentral:rRNA from 1 species
AUGAACGCUAGCUACAGGCUUAACACAUGCAAGUCGAGGGGCAGCAUGAACUUAGCUUGCUAAGUUUGAUGGCGACCGGCGCACGGGUGAGUAACACGUAUCCAACCUGCCGAUGACUCGGGGAUAGCCUUUCGAAAGAAAGAUUAAUACCCGAUGGCAUAGUUCUUCCGCAUGGUAGAACUAUUAAAGAAUUUCGGUCAUCGAUGGGGAUGCGUUCCAUUAGGUUGUUGGCGGGGUAACGGCCCACCAAGCCUUCGAUGGAUAGGGGUUCUGAGAGGAAGGUCCCCCACAUUGGAACUGAGACACGGUCCAAACUCCUACGGGAGGCAGCAGUGAGGAAUAUUGGUCAAUGGACGAGAGUCUGAACCAGCCAAGUAGCGUGAAGGAUGACUGCCCUAUGGGUUGUAAACUUCUUUUAUACGGGAAUAAAGUGAGGCACGUGUGCCUUUUUGUAUGUACCGUAUGAAUAAGGAUCGGCUAACUCCGUGCCAGCAGCCGCGGUAAUACGGAGGAUCCGAGCGUUAUCCGGAUUUAUUGGGUUUAAAGGGAGCGUAGGCGGACGCUUAAGUCAGUUGUGAAAGUUUGCGGCUCAACCGUAAAAUUGCAGUUGAUACUGGGUGUCUUGAGUACAGUAGAGGCAGGCGGAAUUCGUGGUGUAGCGGUGAAAUGCUUAGAUAUCACGAAGAACUCCGAUUGCGAAGGCAGCUUGCUGGACUGUAACUGACGCUGAUGCUCGAAAGUGUGGGUAUCAAACAGGAUUAGAUACCCUGGUAGUCCACACAGUAAACGAUGAAUACUCGCUGUUUGCGAUAUACAGUAAGCGGCCAAGCGAAAGCGUUAAGUAUUCCACCUGGGGAGUACGCCGGCAACGGUGAAACUCAAAGGAAUUGACGGGGACCCGCACAAGUAGCGGAGCAUGUGGUUUAAUUCGAAGCAACGCGAAGAACCUUACCAGGUCUUGACAUCCGAUGCAUAACACAGAGAUGUGUGAAAUCCUUCGGGACAUCGAGACAGGUGGUGCAUGGUUGUCGUCAGCUCGUGCCGUGAGGUGUCGGCUUAAGUGCCAUAACGAGCGCAACCCUUAUCGAUAGUUACCAUCAGGUUAUGCUGGGGACUCUGUCGAGACUGCCGUCGUAAGAUGUGAGGAAGGUGGGGAUGACGUCAAAUCAGCACGGCCCUUACGUCCGGGGCUACACACGUGUUACAAUGGGGGGUACAGAAGGCAGCUACACGGCGACGUGAUGCUAAUCCCUAAAGCCUCUCUCAGUUCGGAUUGGAGUCUGCAACCCGACUCCAUGAAGCUGGAUUCGCUAGUAAUCGCGCAUCAGCCACGGCGCGGUGAAUACGUUCCCGGGCCUUGUACACACCGCCCGUCAAGCCAUGAAAGCCGGGGGUACCUGAAGUGCGUAACCGCAAGGAGCGCCCUAGGGUAAAACUGGUGAUUGGGGCU